CGGUAGUUGGCUGACAUAUACACACCCUCUGUGACAUACAAAUAUGUACAUAGACACUACAUUGUACAUGCACACGACUACAUACACACUACGACAUAUAGAUAUACAUGAUAUCAAACACGAACACAUACACACACACAUAAACACACGCAUUCUUAUAUGAGGAGAUGACGUUGAAUAUUUUUAAAUUGCAGUUGCUCUUAAAGUUAACGGUGCUGACCAAGCGUUCCUGUGACAAAUACAUUAAACUAAAACUAAAACUCAACGAUCAACUUUGCUGAUAAAUCUACGCCUGGCAAUAUGUUUCACCACGUAGUAUCAUAUAGACGGUCUCUUGUGUUGAUACUGUGUACGAUAUUGUUUUUGGAGACUCAAGCUGAUUCAGAUAUAUGCAAGAUAUGUACUUGCAAUUCACUUACAACGAGAAUAAAUUGUGCACGUCGCAAUUUACUAUCAAUUCCACAACCAAUUCCGACGAAUGUUGAAUAUUUAGAACUGUGGAACAACAACAUUGCAACCAUCAAAGAAGGAGCAUUCACGGGGCUUUCACAUUUAAAAGAAUUAGAUCUGUACGAGAACAACAUUUCAACCAUCAAAGAAGGUACAUUCACGGGGCUUUCAAAUUUAAAAGAAUUAUCUCUUGACAGCAAUAAAAUUUCAAGGAUUGAAAAGGAGAUGUUUCAAGGCCUUCACAACUUAGAGAAAUUAGAUCUGAGAUGGAACAACAUUUCAACCAUCAAAGAAGGUUUAUUCACGGGCCUUUCGAAUUUAAAGACAUUAGGUCUUCGCAACAAUAAGAUUUCAAGGAUUGAAAAAGAGAUGUUUCAAGGCCUUCACAACUUAGAGAAAUUAUCUCUUUCCUUCAAUAAAAUUUCAAGGAUUGAAAAAGAGAUGUUUCAAGGCCUUCACAACUUAGAGAUAUUUUACCUCGAAAACAAUAACCUUAUGAAGUGUGGAUGUCACUUGCCAGCCUUCGUUAAGUAUAUUAAAAAAGUCUAUAACAGAACUGUUGCUGUCUCUGGCACGUGUCAGGAAGGCUCAGGGAAACGAAUACCUAUACUGGAUUAUUCGCAAUGUCAAAAUUACUCGUUAUUUCAACGGAAUUUACAGUGUCAAACAUGUUCAGGAAUCAUAUGCAAUGAAUGAAGUGACAAGCUGUCCAGGAACAGAGCCUGUAUGCCGAUUCGCAAUAUCAAUGAACGGUGCUAAACUGAAGACUGAAAGGUCCUGCAGCACAUACAGAAAAUGUGUUGAAGCUAUGAGAAACAAUACCCUUACAUGCAAUAAACGGACGAAUGGCACGUCUUGUACUGGUUGUUGCGUCGGACACUUGUGUAACAGAAUGAUUUCAUUGGCUGGACCAAAUCCCUCGUAUUUCGUUUGAUUUUAAAAAGUUCAACGAAUAUAAAAUCCCCGCUGAGAACAUAUCAAGAGCCAUGGAGCAUGACCUUUCAACCGUGACGGGAACAUUUAGAGUUGAAGACUGUGGCUCAAACAGAAAUAAAAUAUUUGCUAUUUACUGUACAGUAUUUAGCGAAAUGACUGAAAGUCAACUGCGGCGCAAUAUCUCCCAGUUUUGAACAAUUCCCAGGAAUUGCUUAACUUAGGAGUU
rnacentral:misc_RNA from 1 species